rnacentral:rRNA from 1 species
CAGCCGCCGCGGUAACCCCAGCGCCACAAGUGGGGAUCGGUUUUAUUUGGUCUAAAGCGUUCGUAGCAGGUCUUGUAAAUUUCUUGUGAAUUUGUUGCGCCUAACGUAACAGAGUGCAGGAAAGACUGCAAGACUAGGAACUGGGAGGCGUAAGCGGUAUUCUCGGGGGAGCGGUAAAAUGUUAUAAUCCCGAGAGGACCACCUGUGCCGAAGGGGGCUUACGAGAACAGAUUCGACUGUGAGGGACGAAAGCUAGGGGAGCGAAACGGAUUAGAUACCCGUGUAGUCCUAGUCGUAAACACUGUGAACUAGAUAUGGCAUAAACUUAGGGUUUGUGCUGUAUCGAAACGAAGGUGCAAGUUCACCACCUGGGAAGUAUAGUCGCAAGGCUGAAACUUAAAGGAAUUGGCGGGGGAGCAC